GAAUAUUGGACAAUGGGCGAAAGCCUGAUCCAGCCAUGCCGCGUGGGUGAAGAAGGCCUCCGGGUUGUAAAGCCCUUUUGUUGGGGAAGAAAUCCUGCUGGCUAAUACCCGGCGGGGAUGACGGUACCCAAAGAAUAAGCACCGGCUAACUUCGGGCCAGCAGCCGCGGUAAUACGAAGGGUGCAAGCGUUACUCGGAAUUGCUGGGCGUAAAGCGGGCGUAGUUGGUGGUUUAAGUCCGUUGUGAAAGCCCUGGGCCCAACCUGGGAAUUGCAGUGGAUACUGGGUCACUAGAGUGUGGUAGAGGGUGGCGGAUUUCCCGGUGUAGCAGUGAAAUGCGUAGAGAUCGGGAGGAACACCCGUGGCGAGGGCGGCCACCUGGGCCAACACUGACACUGAGGCACGAAAGCGUGGGGAGCAAACA
rnacentral:rRNA from 1 species